rnacentral:rRNA from 1 species
AACGUAGGACGCAAGCGUUAUCCGGAGUUACUGGGCGUAAAGCGCGGGCAGGCGGCUCGAAACGUCUGAUGUGAAAUCUCCUCGCUCAACGGGGAGAGGCCAUUGGAAACGGUCGGGCUGGAGGGCAGUAGAGGCAGGCGGAAUUCCGGGUGGAGUGGUGAAAUGCGUAGAGAUCCGGAGGAACACCAGUGGCGAAGGCGGUGCUCUGGGUCGGAACUGACGCUGAGGAGCGAAAGCGUGGGGAGCAAACAGG